rnacentral:rRNA from 1 species
UGGGGAAUUUUGGACAAUGGGCGAAAGCCUGAUCCAGCAAUGCCGCGUGUGUGAAGAAGGCCUUCGGGUUGUAAAGCACUUUUGUCCGGAAAGAAAUGGCUCUGGUUAAUACCUGGGGUCGAUGACGGUACCGGAAGAAUAAGGACCGGCUAACUACGUGCCAGCAGCCGCGGUAAUACGUAGGGUCCAAGCGUUAAUCGGAAUUACUGGGCGUAAAGCGUGCGCAGGCGGUUGUGCAAGACCGAUGUGAAAUCCCCGAGCUUAACUUGGGAAUUGCAUUGGUGACUGCACGGCUAGAGUGUGUCAGAGGGGGGUAGAAUUCCACGUGUAGCAGUGAAAUGCGUAGAGAUGUGGAGGAAUACCGAUGGCGAAGGCAGCCCCCUGGGAUAACACUGACGCUCAUGCACGAAAGCGUGGGGAGCAAACAGGAUUAGAUACCCUGGUAGUCCACGCCCUAAAACGAUGUCAACUAGUUGUUGGGGAUUCAUUUCCUUAGUAACGUAGCUAACGCGUGAAGUUGACCGCCUGGGGAGUACGGUCGCAAAGAUU